GGUAGAGGAAAAAUAGAGUUAAAUAGUUCAUAAUUUGAUCCUUGCAAAUAUAAGGUAAAAAAAUUGUCAAAAAUAGAGUUAAAUCGUUCAUAAUUUGGUCCUGCAAAUAUGAGGUAAAAAAAUUAUCAAAAAUAGAGUAAUCCAUCGAAUCGUUUUUAUGUUAUUAAGGGAUUCAUUUAAAAUAUUCGGAUUGGGGUCAUUGGCUUGUAUGCUUAUAAUAUUCAAAUUAGAAUGUGCAGCUUGUAAGAGAUUGUGUAUAGAAUUUCUUUUGCCUUUUUAUGAUUAUAGAUGAUUUUGUUUUAUAUGAUUAAAAUUGAUUAUUUGUAUUUGCUUCAUCACAUGACCUUUAAGGUUUGUGAUAACAAAGCGACUGUUGGUUAACUUUAUGGUUGUGAAAUUCUACUUGGUAUUCUCUGUAUUCAUCGUAAGAUUGUACUAAAGAGUAGCCCCUUUCCAUGGAUAUCUACUAACGCGACUAAGUAACCUAAGUAAUUC
rnacentral:lncRNA from 1 species